AUUGAACGCUGGCGGCAUGCUUUACACAUGCAAGUCGAGCGGCAGCGCGGGGGCAACCCUGGCGGCGAGCGGCGAACGGGUGAGUAAUGCAUCGGAACGUAUCCUCGAGUGGGGGAUAACCCAGCGAUAGUUGGGCUAAUACCGCAUGAGCUCUGAGGAGGAAAGCGGGGGACCUGCGAGGGCCUCGCGCUGGAGGAGCGGCCGAUGUCCGAUUAGCUAGUUGGUGGGGUAAAGGCUUACCAAGGCGACGAUCGGUAGCUGGUCUGAGAGGAUGAUCAGCCACACUGGGACUGAGACACGGCCCAGACUCCUACGGGAGGCAGCAGUGGGGAAUUUUGGACAAUGGGGGCAACCCUGAUCCAGCCAUGCCGCGUGAGUGAAGAAGGCCUUCGGGUUGUAAAGCUCUUUCGGACGGAACGAAAUGGGCGGGACUAAUACUCCUGUCUGAUGACGGUACCGUAAGAAGAAGCACCGGCUAACUACGU
rnacentral:rRNA from 1 species